rnacentral:rRNA from 1 species
AUUGAACGCUGGCGGAAUGCUUUACACAUGCAAGUCGAACGGCAGCACGGACUUCGGUCUGGUGGCGAGUGGCGAACGGGUGAGUAAUACAUCGGAACGUGCCCAGUCGUGGGGGAUAACGUAGCGAAAGCUACGUUAAUACCGCAUACGAUCUAAGGAUGAAAGCGGGGGAUCGCAAGACCUCGCGCGAUUGGAGCGGCCGGUGGCAGAUUAGGUAGUUGGUGGGGUAAAGGCUCACCAAGCCGACGAUCUGUAGCUGGUCUGAGAGGACGACCAGCCACACUGGGACUGAGACACGGCCCAGACUCCUACGGGAGGCAGCAGUGGGGAAUUUUGGACAAUGGGCGCAAGCCUGAUCCAGCCAUUCCGCGUGCAGGAUGAAGGCCCUCGGGUUGUAAACUGCUUUUGUACGGAACGAAAAGGCUCUGGUUAAUACCUGGGGCUCAUGACGGUACCGUAAGAAUAAGCACCGGCUAACUACGUGCCAGCAGCCGCCGUAA